UGGCUAUAUCAUACUGAAACACCAGUUCCCAUAUGAUCACUGAAGUUAAGCAACGUCAAGCCUGGUCAGUACCUAGAUAGGUGGCCACUUGAGAAUGCCAGGUGCUGUAAU